rnacentral:rRNA from 1 species
UACAGAGGGUGCAAGCGUUGUUCGGAAUUACUGGGCGUAAAGGGCGCGUAGGUGGCCUUCUAAGUUGAACGUGAAAUCCCUGGGCUCAACCCAGGAACUGCGUCCAAGACUGGGAGGCUUGAAUCCGGGAGAGGGAUGCGGAAUUCCAGGUGUAGCGGUGAAAUGCGUAGAUAUCUGGAGGAACACCGGUGGCGAAGGCGGCAUCCUGGACCGGUAUUGACACUGAGGCGCGAAAGCGUGGGGAUCAAACAGG